rnacentral:rRNA from 1 species
UACACACGUGCUACAAUGGGUGGUACAAAGAGAAAGCCAACUCGCGAGAGCGGCGCCAAUACUCCAAAAAGACCAUCCUCAGUUCGGAUUGGAAGUCUGCAACUCCGACUUCAUGAAGUUGGAAUCGCUAGUAAUCGCGGAUCAGCAUGCCGCGGUGAAUACCGGUUCCCGGGCCUU